CCUUGAAUGAGGAAAAUGAGAUACAGGAUGCCUAAUGUUUCAUUGACAUCCAUGAAAAGAGACAUGAAAACAUCCAAACCUCUCUCAGUGGAAGAAAGUUAAGGGGACCACAUGCAAAACCACAGCUCCAGUGAGAAUGGUGAUCCUGGCAGGACAACAGGGAUCCCAUCCAUGCACCUCUCCUUGUGUGGCCACAGGGAGAGACUGUGCCUCGUGCAUCAAGAAGAAAAUCAUGUUUGGCUGAUCCCUUUGAACUGCUGAAACCAGAUGACUUGCAAUCAAUAGUCUGUGAAACAAUAAGGUCAGUAGUGCGAAGAUUCAGAUUUUCUGCCUCUAAACACAGACUGAUGUGCUGGAACACUGAGGAUUUUGCAUUGAGCUGGACGAACAUGGGAGGAUGGAGCAGUAUUUCAAACGCAUCCUUGGAGAUCUGGGUCCAUUCAAAGCCAGGAUGGACAGAACUCAGAGCAGCCUGAUAAAACUGAAGAUGUCCCUUUAGGGUACUUUCCAACCCAGACCAUUCUGUGAUUUUAUGGUUUAAUUUUUUUCUCUUAAAUUCUCUGAAUUUUGCCUUAACUGAGUUUUCUUUCAUGCUUUUUCUAUUAUUUUUCUGAGAAAGUGAGUAAAACAAGAUAGUCAAUCUGGCCAAGAAUAUCUGAUAACUUUCAGCUGAUCUUUUCUUUAAAAGAAUUAGCCCAUGAUAUGAAAUUGGUUUUGCAAAGUUAUGUACAACUAUAAUCUAGUCAGACACACCAAGAUAAAAUACUCGUGUUAGAAGUUGCCAUUAGUUUUGCCAUAACUACUGUUUUGUAGUAGAUAUUAUUCAAAAUAAUUUCCCUGACAGUAAUUUUAUAGUUUCUUGGUAAUGAUCUCAAACAAACCUCUUUGAACAAACCUCACAAUGAGAUCAAAUCUUGCACAGCAGGAGCACUCAGACAACAUGAGUGGUUGUAAACCUGCUACUUUGUAUCAAGAAAUUAGCCUUUUUACAGUCUUAGCACACCUUCAAAAUCCCCUUGUUCAGGGCUGCAGGGCACUUGAAAAAAGGUCCAGAAUAACGUUUGGUGUCCCCAGACCUGAAUUGGGUGUACACAAGAUCCAGUGUCUCCACCAGCUCCAGGCUGACAUGCUGCUUGUUGCACCAGAGCAGAAUGAAUAAUCUCCAGACGUGAGUUACUGGCACAAUUAAGGCAAGAGCACAGCUGACUGACAUCGUGAACAAAAGACCUUUGGCAAAGCUUCCAGUGCAAAAGCAGAGAGGAAAUUCACUCUUGGCGCCGAGCGCUCGCAAGUACAAGCAGGACGAACUGCUGAUUAACAAGCUCAGACUCAGACCAAAUUCCAAAGGAUGAACAAUGGCAAUUACAUUCUGUUAUGUCUCUCUACAGUGUGCAAGCAAUUUUUCAUUACGUUAGAAUCCAUAGGCAACUCCAGCAGUACCUUUUCACUGUCUAAUUGAUACUUAUGAGGUUUGGCUUGCAGCUUUCAAAAGAAUCAGAAAUACAGAGAAUUCUGUACCAUCCAACAAGAAAGCAAAGUUCUGUAAUAUUAGUUAUAGGUGCAGUAGGUUUUGAUGGCUCUAACACAGCUGGGUCAUUUAAUAGGGCAGGCAAGACACAGUUGUGCUUUGGAGGGUGCACACUGAACUGGGCUGCUGGGGUUUCCUCAUAAAAAUGAACAUGCUGAUCCCUUCAUGGGGCUCUAGCAGGUUUGGGGACAUGAUUUCUUCUACAACAGUCAGGUCAACCCCUCUUUGAGGGACAUAUUUUUCCCCACAUUGAUUUGAUUCUUUUUAUAACUUCUAGCAGUUUGUUUGCUGCAGCACUUCUGGUUUACUGGUCCCAAGGUCACAGGGUCACCUCUGAGCCUUUCUCACAUAUUUUCAUCUUCUUUUUCCUUGCCUGUGGUAGUGAGGUCAGUGCAAAUAAUUGAUUAUACUGAGCUAGUACUGGGUAUUUCAUAUUUGAGGGAAUCCCCUCUGUUCCAAGUGUAAUAUUUUUUUGACACUUUGGUCUGAUGCAGUCCUGGAGAUACUUCUGGUCUCAUAUAGGAACCUCACUGUCCUCCCUUACUGAUUAUUGAUGCAAAUAACCUAUUCAGGUUUCCCGCAAUAGCUUUCUCUUCCAGAACUGCUCCUUUUGUACCUCUGUCAUAUGUUGGCACCAUCAGUUUACCAAUUACCUUCUAGCCUGAGGUAAGUGAAUGCAGUUAUUAGGUUUGUAUGUUUAGCAAGUCACUCUUCAAACUGUUGUGGGCCUAUUUACAGUGGUUUCAGUUAACUUCUCCAAGUCAAGCCUCUUAUCUACUUUUCUCCAUAGAAUAGGACUUACUUUUUGAAGGAUGGUUUUUUUCUCCUGAUAACCGUGUCUCUGCUCUUUAGACAUGGUAACUAUGUUUGAUAUUUGAAAAGACUAUUUAAUGGUAUACAUUUAAACUGGACCUUUAUUGUACCUUUAAGCAGACUCUACAUGGAUUGUGCUAGCUGUGCUUUUUUUUUUAAUUAACUUUGCCAUUUUAAGGUAAAUUGCUGCCAAGACUGGUAUUUUUUUACUUUAUCCACCUGUGAGGUUUUGAAUUUGAGAAUGACAAUGUCAGGACAUAAUGUUUUUCCUUACAUUUAGAAAGUUGGCAGCUUAGCUCUGCUGAAUGUAUGUGACCAGUAAGAGGUACUGGCAUUCAGGUAUGUCAGUCAGUGUCUUACCUCAGCUCUGACUCCUCAGGGGAGCUCUUAGAGCAUCUCUGAAGAGCUAAAUGGUUCGUACACACUGUAGUAAAUGGCACACAAUAUUAUCCUCUCCUCUGGCAGCUGUGAGAGAACCCUCCAAGGGACAACCUAUGGCCAGAGAAGGGCUGUGCACAAGUGCACAGUCUCCAGCUGAAGAAGCUGCAGACAAAAAUGUUACCUUGAGUUCCCAACUUUUCAAGUCCUGAGAGAAACAGUAAUUUAGUCCUUUGGUGAACCACACCGUGCCAGGACAGGUUUUCUGAACUCCAUGCUGUUCUAUCACACUUAACCUGCUAGUUGAAUAACACAGUGUGGCAUUAUCUGAUUUCUCCAGUGCUUACAGCAAAAUGACUUCAUAAUAAAAGCAUUCACAUUCUCCUAUACAACUUCAGAUUUUGCCAGAGUGUUAUGUUUCUAAUAAUGAAAAACAUGGCUUAUUUCAGAUGAUAAAGUAGCCAUAAAUAAAGAGCUCACAGGAGCAGGCUGACAAAUAAACUUUUUAUAUGUUGGGUAUGUAUGGGGAUGUAGUUUGUGGUGACAGCACAUUGCUCAGAAAAGCAGGUCAUAUGCUGCUUCCUAUUAUACCAGUGUCAACCCAGAGAAUUUCCAUUGUCUGUAUUUCAACCAGUUCAACUAAGAUAAAGAUCUCUGCACAGCAUUUCAUAGCCUUUUUGCCACUGUAUAGUAUUAAAAAACGAAAGUACUGUAGGGGUCAAAUUACUUUCAAUAUUGUUUGUGAUAAUAA